rnacentral:rRNA from 1 species
UUGCUCUUGGGUGACGAGUGGCGGACGGGUGAGUAAUGUCUGGGAAACUGCCCGAUGGAGGGGGAUAACUACUGGAAACGGUAGCUAAUACCGCAUAACGUCUUCGGACCAAAGUGGGGGACCUUCGGGCCUCACACCAUCGGAUGUGCCCAGAUGGGAUUAGCUAGUAGGUGGGGUAACGGCUCACCUAGGCGACGAUCCCUAGCUGGUCUGAGAGGAUGACCAGCCACACUGGAACUGAGACACGGUCCAGACUCCUACGGGAGGCAGCAGUGGGGAAUAUUGCACAAUGGGCGCAAGCCUGAUGCAGCCAUGCCGCGUGUAUGAAGAAGGCCUUCGGGUUGUAAAGUACUUUCAGUGGGGAGGAAGGCGAUGGAGUUAAUAGCUUCGUCGAUUGACGUUACCCGCAGAAGAAGCACCGGCUAACUCCGUGCCAGCAGCCGCGGUAAUACGGAGGGUGCAAGCGUUAAUCGGAAUUACUGGGCGUAAAGCGCACGCAGGCGGUCUGUCAAGUCGGAUGUGAAAUCCCCGGGCUCAACCUGGGAACUGCAUUCGAAACUGGCAGGCUAGAGUCUUGUAGAGGGGGGUAGAAUUCCAGGUGUAGCGGUGAAAUGCGUAAGAUCUGGAGGAAUACCGGUGGCGAAGCGGCCCCCUGGACAAAGACUGACGCUCA